GUGGUCGUAGCUCAGUUGGUAGAGCCCCGGAUUGUGAUUCCGGUUGUCGUGGGUUCGAGCCCCAUCGAUCACCCCA
rnacentral:tRNA from 2 species